CAUGCGGUUUGCCUGGCGUUUUGGCUGUUAAGUUUGGUGAUGUUGGCCUCCCUAAGGAUUUUUCACCCUCUCACAAGGUGUGUCCAAUAAACAGUACAGUCACUGAUCUUUGUCAACUUUUUAAGAAAAUAACAGAAUAUGAAGAAGGAAGACUAUAUAUAGGAUCGAUCUACUUCAUAACUGG